UAGUCCGCAACGGCGGGAGGUUUGACUGCGGCUGCCGGCUUGGUGCUCUCAGAACUUCAUUCCCCGCCGGCCCCCGCGACCUAGGCCUUUGCCUUUUCCUGUCCAGGGGACUAGAAGCCUCGCUGUGGCAAGUUGAGAGGAUUGGGGAAGGGGUGUACUCCUUCCCGCCAAACGCUCUGAGUUUCCGGGCUUGGCCUGCUCAGGUAGAGCACGUUCCGGGUUUUGCAAACUCACCUCCGGGGAAGGAGCAGAGGGAAGAGGGGAGAAGCGGCCUGAAGGACUGAGCUUGCAUCGGAGCGGGCUGUCACUCGGGGAAGUUCUUUGGGGAAACGCGUCGGAACGGUGGCUUCUUGCGGGAGCGGUGAGGCCAAAGCUGGGGCCCGUGGAGUCCUGUCCGGAGGGGCGGCGCGCGCUCCUGCAGGGUUCGGUUGCCAGCAAAGUAGGGGACUCAGUCCGUGGCUGGGAGAACUCGAGGGGCUGUGGGAGUCGUGUCUGCCGGAGCCUUAAGGAAAAGGCAAGGUUACAGUGGGUGAAGACCCAGAUGGGGUCUAUGCAAUGCCCGUGGCAUAUUGACCAGAAUAUGUGUGAAAGUCACCUUGUACACACGAACACGUCCCUGCCUGACUGUGCAAACCAGAGCCUCCUCCACUCCUAACUCAGCUUAAAGAACAGCCUCUGAACCAAUUACAACUGCGUGUUCAAACCUUGGGGUGUGACAUGGAUUAUGGAGUUUUCCUUUCCUCCAAUUCCUCCUUGAGAAUGAACUUGUGUCUUGCAGCAUCGAACAGGAGAUUUGAAUCCCUGAAGCAGGUCGGUGAGCUUAGAACUUCAACUCCACCCCCCAACCCCACACAAGUGUUAUCACCCUAGAGUGUUGAUCCAAGGCUGGCCUCACCUACCAUCUGCUGGUGCUUGUUCAGGGAAACUAACAAAAUUGAUGGGUGCCAGGGACCCACAUGUUUGGGGUGCUGAUGUUACUCUUGACAGUGCAGCUGACAACCAAUCAGUGGAUGCCUCACACGGGCCUUUGGAAUACCUGCCCUUUUGCUAUGUUCCUUCAGCCUUAACAGCAAGAUCGCUGAGAAUUCUGCCCUGUCAUGGAUUGGAGGCUGUAGGUUAUCCAGGGGCCGACUCCAGCAGGCUGCAAUCAAACUUACCAACAGUUGGCUGCCAUUUUGGUUCAGCUAACCAGAAACACCAGUAAGAGAUUAGAAUCUUGGAAGACAGAGCAAUCAAAGGUUUUUCUCCUUCCUCUGCAUCAGGUGACUUGUCUUUCAAUAGUUCCAUAUUCUCCAUGGCUCCAGCCAUUCAACCAUGAGGUUGACCCAUCAGGGCUCUGGAUCCAACACCCAGGUUCCAGUAACACGAUCUCCUUUCUUUGUCAUUUCAUCUCAGAGGUGACUGAUUUCCUCAUGUUGCUAAUAAUUGGGUUUCCCAAUUCUCUCCUGCUUGGCUACCUACCACUUUUGAAACCAACCCCAUGCAUUAAGUUUCCUCCAUGUUAAAUAUUUACAGUGGUUUCUAAUUUCCAGGACAAUCCUUGACUGUUACAUGCAACCAAUUAUAAUGACUGAUCUAGUGUUGAACUCUUUUGCAUUCUUGACAUAAACCCAGCUCUGUCACCA